AGUCCACUGCGACGUUGGUGACUGCCAAUAAAGUUUUUUGAUCUAUGCUUGCAGUUUAAGGGCGUCAGCAGUUCCUGUGGCAGUAGGCCGGGCUUAGUACCCGGAAACUUUAAACGGUGAGCGCCGAUACCCACCUGGUGAAUCCAGGUCAUAAACUGAGGUAAAACGGCGUUGCGGUGGACUC
rnacentral:other from 2 species